rnacentral:misc_RNA from 1 species
UGUGGUCAUGCAUUUUUAGGCCAUACAGUUUCUAGAACAGUAUUUAAAACAUAUAAAUAUCAUGUUUUUUACAAGUGUUUUAUGGCCAUUAUAAGUUGGCAUGUUACCCAUUUCAUUUAUUGUAUUUAGGGCUGAGCAUCUUUCGGUUCGGUUUGGUUCAGUUCAGUCUUGAGAAUGAAUAACUGAAAUUCCUGGUAUUUGAUGUGAGCUGAACCGAACUGAUCUUAGAGAGGAAACCAAACCAAAUAGUUCACUUUGUUUUUUCAGUUCAAUCUUCAAUGGCUAGAAACUCACCCUCAAUUUGAUAAGACUUUCAAUCAAAUACCCAACAAUUUUCAAUCCCUAUUGGUAUUCAUAAAACUGAUAAACUCUUUCAGAGUUUGAUUAUUUAAUUGCCAUUAUUAAUCAAGAAGAAACUAUUUCUUAG